UUUACGAAUAAUGUCUAUUGACUUGGGUCGCAAAGGUUUGUGACUUUUAAAAUAUGGGUCCCCAGAAAAAAGUUUGGGAAACACUGGUCUAUUUUGUGUAUUUUAUACGGUCAGUUUAGAGGCUCCAUUCAGCCUAAACCUGUCUGUCUGUCACUCUUCCCUUCUGUCUGUCUCUCCUGGGUUCAUUAGUUUUGUCACCCUCACCUGUGUCACCUGUGAUUCCCUGUCAAUCAGUCUCACUCGUCUCUCCUGGUGCCCUGGGUAUAUACACCUCCAUCCCUCACUCUGUCAGGUCAUUGUGUUUCCUGUUGUCACUGUUGUGGUUCCUUCCUGUUCCUGAACUCCAGAUCUGGAUCAGAGGCCUGGACGGUGUGGACGAUCCCUGGGGGCAGGUUUUCUGGGAGGCUGACGUGGAAGGAUGAAUGCAUGAACUCUGGAGGGUUAUCGUUCACAUCCAGCACAGAGCAGCGUACCACCGCGGUGGCUGUCAGAGGCUGUGGGCCGCUGUCAUGGGCUUGGACUGAGAACAAAAUCCAUUCUCGUUCCCAGCUAAGAUUGAAUACGAGACAAGUCCAUUUUCACCCUUAUCUCCAUCGAUUGCCACAAAGUGAUGAAGCAGACUCCCCACCUCGGCAUCCUCCAUCACCUGCACGAAAUCUGCU